AUGGCGUCGGCCUGCUUCUUCGCCCGCUGCGCCUCCCUCCCCGCGCGCCUCGUCGCUCACCCCACGCCCCUCGCCAUCACCUCCUGCAGGCUGCGGCGGCUCGGCGCCGAGGGAGCAAGGCCGGUGUGCGCCGCCGGGAGGAUGCUCGGCUCCGUCAGAUACGGCACCGGAGCGGCGUUGGGCCCCAAGGAAGCGGGUGCGGAGGUGGCCGCCGUGCCGCCAUCGGUGCCGGUGCGCGUCGCCUACGAGCUGCAGCUGGCCGGCCACCGCUACCUCGACGUCAGAACGGAGGGCGAGUUCGGCGGCGGGCAUCCGGCAGGAGCGGUGAACAUCCCCUACAUGCACAGCACCGGCUCAGGGAUGGCCAAAAACUCAGGUUUUCUAGAGCAAGUGUCGGCGAUAUUCAGGAGGGAGGACGAGAUCAUCAUCGGAUGCCAAAGUGGCAGGAGGUCUCUCAUGGCAGCAGCCGAACUCUGCUCCGCCGGUUACACUGGUGUGACCGACAUCGCCGGAGGGUAUUCUGCUUGGAAGGAGAACGAGCUGCCGAUCAACCAGUGA
rnacentral:rRNA from 1 species